rnacentral:rRNA from 1 species
ACGCACGCUGGCGGCGUGCUUAACACAUGCAAGUCGAACGAUGAACCGGUUUCGGCCGGGGAUUAGUGGCGAACGGGUGAGUAACACGUGGGCAAUCUGCCCUGCACUCUGGGAUAAGCCCGGGAAACUGGGUCUAAUACCGGAUACGACACUCCGAGGCAUCUUGGGGUGUGGAAAGUUCCGGCGGUGCAGGAUGAGCCCGCGGCCUAUCAGCUUGUUGGUGGGGUAAUGGCCUACCAAGGCGACGACGGGUAGCCGGCCUGAGAGGGUGACCGGCCACACUGGGACUGAGACACGGCCCAGACUCCUACGGGAGGCAGCAGUGGGGAAUAUUGCACAAUGGGCGAAAGCCUGAUGCAGCGACGCCGCGUGAGGGAUGACGGCCUUCGGGUUGUAAACCUCUUUCAGCAGGGAAGAAGCGAAAGUGACGGUACCUGCAGAAGAAGCACCGGCUAACUACGUG